ACAUCCAGAGAACUUUCCAGAGAUGGAUUGGUGCCUUCGGGAACUCUGGGACAGGUGCUGCAUGGCUGUCGUCAGCUCGUGUUGUGAAAUGUUGGGUUAAGUCCCGCAACGAGCGCAACCCUUAUCCUUUGUUGCCAGCGGUUAGGCCGGGAACUCAAAGGAGACUGCCAGUGAUAAACUGGAGGAAGGUGGGAUGACGUCAAGUCAUCAUGGCCCUUACGAGUAGGGCUACACACGUGCUACAAUGGCGCAUACAAAGAGAAGCGACCUCGCGAGAGCAAGCGGACCUCAUAAAGUGCGUCGUAGUCCGGAUUGGAGUCUGCAACUCGACUCCAUGAAGUCGGAAUCGCUAGUAAUCGUGGAUCAGAAUGCCACGGUGAAUACGUUCCCGGGCCUUGUACACACCGCCCGUCACACCAUGGGAGUGGGUUGCAAAAGAAGUAGGUAGCUUAACCUUCGGGAGGGCGCUUACCACUUUGUGAUUCAUGACUGGGGUGAAGUCGUAACAAGGUAAGCGUAGAUGA
rnacentral:rRNA from 1 species